GCCGGAGUAGCUCAGUGGCCAGAGCAGCCGACUUGUAAUCGGCAGGUCAGGGGUUCGACUCCCCUCUCCGGCUC
rnacentral:tRNA from 1 species